rnacentral:rRNA from 1 species
UGGGGAAUUGUUCGCAAUGGGCGCAAGCCUGACGACGCAACGCCGCGUGGAGGAUGAAGACCUUCGGGUCGUAAACUCCUUUCGAUCGAGACGAAUGGUUUUCGGGUGAACAAUCCGGAAAAGUGACGGUACCGAGAGAAGAAGCCCCGGCUAACUCCGUGCCAGCAGCCGCGGUAAUACGGGGGGGGCAAGCGUUGUUCGGAAUUACUGGGCGUAAAGGGCUCGUAGGUGGCCAACUAAGUCAGACGUGAAAUCCCUCAGCUUAACUGGGGAACUGCGUCUGAUACUGGAUGGCUUGAGUUUGGGAGAGGGAUGCGGAAUUCCAGGUGUAGCGGUGAAAUGCGUAGAUAUCUGGAGGAACACCGGUGGCGAAGGCGGCAUCCUGGACCAACACUGACACUGAGGAGCGAAAGCCAGGGGAGCAAACGGGAUUAGAUACCCCGGUAGUCCUGGCCCUAAACGAUGAAUGCUUGGUGUGGCGGGUAUCGAUCCCUGCCGUGCCGAAGCUAACGCAUUAAGCAUUCCGCCUGGGGAGUACGGUCGCAAGGCUG